rnacentral:piRNA from 1 species
UAACUAAGACAGGGCCCAGAUGAGUUGAG